GGACUGUUAGUUCAGUGGCAGAAUAUUCGCGCUAUGCGUCGAAACGCCCCUUUGGGGGAGUCCUGUGUCUUACUUUACCCAAAGUUUGACUUGGAUGCAAAGGUUUACGAUAGCUUUGGCGGCGGAAGACCUGGUGUUCGAUUCCCAGAUAGUCCU